CAUCAGAACUAAUGAUGAUAUAUAUUUGAUAAAUUGUAGUGAAAAUCAAACAUUAUUACAAGUAUAUAUAGAUACAUCUCUUUUAAUAUGCUUUCUUAGUUUGAAAUUAUCAAGAUCAAUAGCUAGAGAUACACUAUAUUGAUUUUUCUUAAUAUUUUAUUUUGUAAAUAUAAGAUUGUUCAUAUCUUUAAAAAAUUUCUUACAUAUAUAGAUACAUCUCUCCUAAUAUGCUUCAGCCCCAUGUAUUAUUUCAUAUGGAAAUAGACAAGGCUUAUUAUAUAUACUAUUGUAAACACAACCUCAAAACAAGAACAUAAACACACCAUAAACCAGAAAAAAAUUGAUCAAUAAUCAAUCUUAAAGACAAAACUGGUUUAAUCAAGGAAUCAAAUCAUAACAGAAAUGAAACAUAAAGAGGAACACAAACACAAACACAUACGUGGUUCGAAUGAGUGUUGGCUAGACACCACUCUACUCAACGGCCAAAACCAGCCCUAAGGGCUUGACAAUCUCUUUAUUGAUUCUAAGUUUCAAUCCGUAAAACAAUGGAGUCUAGCUCCAAGCUUCUCUCAUAACAGUAGUACAAGAUAUCUCUAGGCUCUCUAAAACUCACUCCCAAUAUUACAAUGUAUGUAAAAACUGAAUUGGAUUAAAUAAUAGAAGAGGGGCCUUAUAUAUACAUGUGAUGUAAGUGACUGACUACUGGUAGAGAAUUAUUCUUAUUGUUAUAGAUUAUAGUUUAUGCAUUCUAGGUGUUUGAGUGAAUGUCUCAAUAAGUACAAAAUACUCAAUAGACUUGUGUGUUAUUUAUUAUGUGAGUGGCAAAUGACUACUGGUAGAGAAUUCCGGGCAUUACGAUACAUGGGAAGCAGUGCCUCAACACUACAAAGACCUAGUCAUUACAAAUAUUAAGUGCUAUUAUCAAAUAGAUGGCCAGUCGGAUUCCAUACGGUGUCUAGACGGUAUCGAUAAAGAGAUGAAAGAUCGAUAUCGCGAUAGCAAAACAAAAAGACAUCGACAUUUUGCAACAUAUUACAAUGGACCUGAGGAUUGGGACAAAAUCCUCGUAAACCCAGAUCAUAAUGUCAACAAAGGAUGAGUGGAAGAAUAUUUGUGAGUUAUUUACCAGUCCUCGUUGGAUGGAGCGCUAAAAAAAGAAUAAGGAAAACAGAGCUCAACAAAAGUAUGCAACAACGCAGGGUUCAAAAUCGUUGGCGGCUCGCCGUCACAAAAGAGUAAAAAUUAUCAACACAAUUAAUUUUAAUUAAAUUAUAAGUUAUUUAACCUUAUGUUUAUACUUUUUAUAUGAACUCUAACCUUAUUGAUGAUUGGAAGGAUUGUCACUGGAAGAAAGAGACAGAACAGUUUGUCAACGAAGCUGCUCAAUCAAAUUAUGAAAAAUUGAAGGCUAAUUUUAUAGCACAAAGUCAGCCGAUAUCUGCUUUUGUCUCGAAUAAGGAUGGUACGACCUCAGUUGACCAGGUGCAGGUCCUAGAAAAAGUACUGGGACAGAGGCGCGGUCACGAGCGAGGAUUGGGCACUAAAUUGAGGGGGACGGGGCCAUCCUCUUGUCAGCCCUCUCAAAACACCCAGUCUCAGGCAGCUCCUCAACAAUCCACAAGUGAAUAUGGUCAUUUGGUGGAGACGAUAAAGAAAUUUACUGAGCAAGUCAAUUUCAUGUCUCAAUUUCUUCCAAGUGGACCUAAUGUGUAGUUUCAGCCUCCACAGAAUUCUUCGUUGCAACCCUCGGUCUCGCCGGACACAUCUGCAGCUUCAUCUUCUCAUCAGCCUCUGAUCCAUCCAUACCUAUACGGAGCAUCGCCACCGCUCUCAUCCCAACCCAUGAGAUCUCCUUACAUGUUUGGAGCAGUACCAUCACAACCUCCACCAAAUUAUCCUUGCAUGUUUGGAGCAUCGUCGAUGCAGCCUCCGCCAUAUCCUUACUACCAAUUUGGACAAGGAUCGUCAACCUUACCUCCACAGUAUCCAUGGCCACAGCCACCGCAGCUGCCACAACCACUGCAACCGUCACAACCACCAUAGUCACUGCAGGCACCGCAACCACCACAGUCGCUGCAGCCACCCUGGGGUAAUGACAUUGAUGAUGCUACUAAUUUAGGAGAGGAUGAGUAGUAUAUUAUUGUACUUAACUGUAAUGACUGCAUUUUAUUAAUAGAUAAUUAUGGAUAUUGUAGUUACAUUUUAUGAUUAUGGAUGUAGUGACUAUAUUU